rnacentral:rRNA from 1 species
GACGAACGCUGGCGGCGUGCUUAACACAUGCAAGUCGAGCGGUAAGGCCCUUUCGGGGGUACACGAGCGGCGAACGGGUGAGUAACACGUGGGUGACCUGCCCUCAGCUCUGGGAUAAGCCUGGGAAACCGGGUCUAAUACCGGAUAUGACUCCAUGACGCAUGUUGUGGGGUGGAAAGCCUUGUGCGGCUGAGGAUGGGCCCGCGGCCUAUCAGCUUGUUGGUGGGGUGAUGGCCUACCAAGGCGACGACGGGUAGCCGGCCUGAGAGGGCGACCGGCCACACUGGGACUGAGACACGGCCCAGACUCCUACGGGAGGGCAGCAGUGGGGAAUCUUGCGCAAUGGGCGAAAGCCUGACGCAGCGACGCCGCGUGAGGGAUG